GAUGAACGCUGGCGGCGUGCUUAACACAUGCAAGUCGAACGGUGAAGGCGGAGCUUGCUCUGCUGGAUCAGUGGCGAACGGGUGAGUAACACGUGAGCAAUCUGCCCCUGACUCUGGGAUAAGCGCUGGAAACGGCGUCUAAUACUGGAUACGAGCUGCGAAGGCAUCUUCAGCAGCUGGAAAUAACUUCGGUCAGGGAUGAGCUCGCGGCCUAUCAGCUUGUUGGUGAGGUAACGGCUCACCAAGGCGUCGACGGGUAGCCGGCCUGAGAGGGUGACCGGCCACACUGGGACUGAGACACGGCCCAGACUCCUACGGGAGGCAGCAGUGGGGAAUAUUGCACAAUGGGCGAAAGCCUGAUGCAGCAACGCCGCGUGAGGGACGACGGCCUUCGGGUUGUAAACCUCUUUUAGCAGGGAAGAAGCGAAAGUGACGGUACCUGCAGAAAAAGCGCCGGCUAACUACGUG
rnacentral:rRNA from 1 species